GAGUUUGAUCCUGGCUCAGGACGAACGCUGGCGGCGCGCCUAACACAUGCAAGUCGAACGGAGCUGAGAGAAGCUUGCUUUUCUUAGCUUAGUGGCGAACGGGUGAGUAACGCGUGGGUAACCUGCCCUGUACAGGGGGAUAACAGCUGGAAACGGCUGCUAAUACCGCAUAAGCGCACGAGGAGACAUCUCCUUGUGUGAAAAACUCCGGUGGUACAGGAUGGGCCCGCGUCUGAUUAGCUGGUUGGCAGGGUAACGGCCUACCAAGGCGACGAUCCAUAGCCGGCCUGAGAGGGUGAACGGCCACAUUGGGACUGAGACACGGCCCAGACUCCUACGGGAGGCAGCAGUGGGGAAUAUUGCACAAUGGGGGAAACCCUGAUGCAGCGACGCCGCGUGAAGGAAGAAGUAUCUCGGUAUGUAAACUUCUAUCAGCAGGGAAGAUAAUGACGGUACCUGACUAAGAAGCCCCGGCUAACUACGUGCCAGCCGCCGCGGUAAUAC
rnacentral:rRNA from 1 species